rnacentral:lncRNA from 1 species
GACUGGUCGCCGCCGGCGCGCCGGCUCUCGCGCUCCUCGCUCAGCCCGGAUCGGCUGAGCGACGGCCGCGACCCGUCGCCGGAGCGGCGCCGGCCGCCGCUGCCGCGCUACGUGGGCGGCCACGACGAGUACAGAGGCCCCAAGACCUCGUCUCCGCUGGUACAGGACGACUACAGCCGCUCUCACGACAAGAGGAAGCCGCCUUACGAGCGCAUCUAGCGGCCAGUGCGUCGGCCUGGCCGCGGCGCGCGUGCUGCCCUCUCUCAUGACCCCGUGGGCUUCUCGGCGGGCUUGUGCUGUAGGCCCGGGCGCGGUCCACGGGCGCGCUGCGUCGGAGACCCCAGAAGGGGCUCAGUAGGCUCCCCGUUCAGAGCCGGGGGCUGACGGGCGUCAGCGGCCAGCCGCAUGUUCAGGGCGCGCCUCGUCGGGGCGCGGUGCGCCGGGCUCCCCGGCCGUGCCGGUCUCCGUUUGCCACCUUGCCGCGCGGGUAUAGCUGUUGUGGAUUUCAGUGAGUUUGUAUAUAGCCUCUAUUUAAAUACAUUCCGCGCGUUGCAGGUGGGCUGUGACUCGCGCUGCCCCCUCCCCCCUUCGAUCAGCUGGCGCCCUCCCCCUCCCCCGACUGCCCACGUGAUAUAUACUGUACGUGCGAUAUAAAUAUGAUCAACUUUCGUGGCGCGUUAUCUGUGAAAAUACCAAGCGAUAAUACAAGGUUUGGGAAACUGG